rnacentral:misc_RNA from 1 species
UUUUAGCCCCGGUUGCAACGGCAUACCCGCUUCAGCGGGAUAUAGUGGAAAACGGGACUCAAC